rnacentral:rRNA from 1 species
CGCGUAGGCGGUGUAUACAGUCAGGCGUGAAAUUCCCGGGCUCAACCUGGGGGCUGCGUUUGAUACGUAUAUGCUUGAGUUCGGAAGAGGGUAGUGGAAUUCCCAGUGUAGAGGUGAAAUUCGUAGAUAUUGGGAAGAACACCGGUGGCGAAGGCGGCUACCUGGUCCGAUACUGACGCUGAGGCACGAAAGCGUGGGGAGCAAACAGGAUUAGAUACCCUGGUAGUCCACGCCGUAAACGAUGUGUGCUGGAUGUUGGGCGGUCUGACCGUUCAGUGUCGUAGCUAACGCGAUAAGCACACCGCCUGGGGAGUACGGCCGCAAGGUUGAA